AGUGAACGCUGGCGGUAGGCCUAACACAUGCAAGUCGAACGGCAGCACAGGAGAGCUUGCUCUCUGGGUGGCGAGUGGCGGACGGGUGAGGAAUACAUCGGAAUCUACUCUGUCGUGGGGGAUAACGUAGGGAAACUUACGCUAAUACCGCAUACGACCUACGGGUGAAAGCAGGGGAUCUUCGGACCUUGCGCGAUUGAAUGAGCCGAUGUCGGAUUAGCUAGUUGGCGGGGGAAAGGCCCACCAAGGCGACGAUCCGUAGCUGGUCUGGGAGGAUGGUCAGGCACACUGGAACUGAGACACGGGCCGGACUCCUACGGGAGGCAGCAGUGGGGAAUAUUGGACAAUGGGCGCAAGCCUGAUCCAGCCAGACCGCGUGGGUGAAGAAGGCCUUCGGGUUGUAAAGCCCUUUUGUUGGGAAAGAAAUCCAGCUGGCUAAUACCCGGUUGGGAUGACGGUACCCAAAGAAUAAGCACCGGCUAACUUCGUGCCAGCCGCCGCCGCGG
rnacentral:rRNA from 1 species